UGAAAGAGGUGAAAACUUUGAAGAAGCAUCCAAAACAAAUAAGGUAUCUGGUUCUUGUCCAUGUCCUCCUCUUAGUAAGCGAAAAUUAGCAGCUUGGCUUCAUUUUUGAAAAGGAACAACUCACACAAAUGGGAAAGUUGAUGUAUUUUGCAAUUAUUGUGGAUCCAAGUAUUCGUACCACAUUGAUAAUGGUACUUCAAAUAUGUUGAAGCACUUGAGAAAGUGCAAUAAGUAUCCUCGCAAUGUGGAUAAGAGGCAAAAAUUGUUUGCAUCACAAAGAGUAAAUGUAACUCAAAUGAUAGGAGGAGAUACUACUAGUAGGCAAAUACUUAUUCGGAUGAUUAUAAUUGAUGAACGACCAUUUUUUAUUGCUGAACGUGUUGGAUUUCGUGAUUAUGUAAAUCAAUUACAACCUUUCUUCAAGCAUAUGUCGCGAUUUACGGUGGCUAGGAAUUGCAUGAAGUUGUAUUUUUAUGAAAAAAAAAAUUGAAGGUUUCUUUCCGUAAGCUUAAUUCUAGGAUCGCACUCACGACUGAUACAUGGAGUUCCAUUCAGAAUUUGAACUAUCUAUGUCUUACUACACAUUUUAUUGAUGAAAAUUGGAAAUUGCACAAAAGGAUCAUCAAUUUUGUGGUGAUAGCUAGUCACAAGGGCAGGGAUAUUGGGAAAGUAGUUGAGAAAUGCAUAAAUGAGUGGGGAAUAGAGAAAAAACACAGUGGAUAAUGCUAGUUCAAAUGAUGUGGCCAUUGGUUAUUUGAAAGAAAAAUUUUCAAGAGAAAGGCUAUUGAUCUUAGAUGAUGAAUCUUUACACAUGAGAUGCACGACUCAUAUAUUAAACUUGAUUGUGAAGGAUGGCAUGGCCGAGAUACAUGAUUCCAUUGCAUGUAUUCGAAACGUGGUUAGGUAUGUGAGGAGUUCUCCUAUGAGAGCUAAGACAUUUCGAGAUUGCAUUGAAAGUAUAAGGACUGCUUAUAAGGGUUCAGUUUGUCAUGAUAUCUCAACUAGGUGGAAUUCCACUUACCUAAUGUUAGAGAGUGCCAUAAAGCUAAGUAAAUCUUUUGAAAUGAUGGAAGAAGAAGACGUUUCUUUCUUAGCUGAGCUUAAUUCUGAUACUCCAAGUAGUAUUGAUUGGGAAAAUGCUAUUGUUCUUUCUAAUUUUUUGAAGAAAUCGUAUACCACCAAGAAGAUGUCUAGAACUUUGUAUAUCACUUCAAAUGAUUAUUUUGUGGGGAUAGCUUCUUCGUAUAAUUAUUUGCGAGAAGCGACAACGGCUUUUGAUCAUAGGGUGAGAGUUAUGGGCGUGAAAAUGAAAGAUAAGUUUGACAAAUAUUAUGGGAUUUUCGAAAAAGUAAAUAUGAUGGUAUUGAUUGCGGUAACAUUAGAUCCUAGAAAAAAGAUGAAUUAUGUGAGGUAUUGUCGUAAACUCAUUUAUGAUGAUGCUGCGGAAGUUGAUGAGAUGUUUGAUAAUGUGAAGUUUGCCCUGGAACGUGUGUUUAAAUUUUUUGAGAAAUCUUGUCACAUUUCUAGAGACAAAAAUUUGGAUGGCGAAUUGGUAGGUUCUACUAAUAUCGGUAGUAGCUGCAAUUCUUAAUUCAAUGAGGGAAAUGAAGAGGACGAUUACAGCUUAAAUUUUUAUGUGCAAGAGCCUUCGUAUGAUGACUUUCUUAAUGAGGAGAAGAAAAAGUCCGCUGGCAACUUAUCUAAGCUCGAUCAAUAUCUUAAAGCUAAACUUGAAGAUUGUCAUGAUCUUGACAUUUUGAAUUGGUAGAGUGUUACUGGCCAAAAGUUUAAAAUCUUAUCUUCGAUGGCUCGGGAUAUUUUGUCUAUUCUCGUUACUACCACUGCUUCAAAAUCAACUUUCAGUACUUCUGGUUGUGUACUUGAUAGUUUUCAGAGUUCUUUAACUCCUAGAGUUAUAGAAGCUUUGAUUUGCACUCAAGAUUGGUUGAGAGUGGUUCUUGAGCCGAUUAAUGUUGAAGAGUGUAUCGAGAAUACAGAAAAGUUUGAAUUGGAUAUGGAUCAUGUUAACACGGAGAUUAACGAUCCAUAGAGUUUACAAGUUGAAGUGGGAUGAAUAUAUGUGGUGACGUCUAGGUUCAAAGGGGGAAAAAGAGAGAGGAAGAGUGAAAUAAUGGUUUUUCUCAGUCCCCUUUUCAAGUGAAAAACUGAAUUUUGAGAUGGUUCCAUCAAUGGGAUAGAGGGCUCUGUCUCAAUGUUUUAUGAGGUGCUUGAAGAGGCAAAAACGAUGGAGGAGUGAAGAAGAUGCAGUGAACGUUGAUUCUGAAUUCUGAGGCCUUCACAACAGUUUAGGAUUCUCUUUUAUCCUUAUGUUGCUGUAGCUUUUACGAAAGAAAAUGACCGAGAAGCUAAAACAGUUUAGGAUUCUCUUUUGAAUGUUUGAGUGAAACCUAAUUAAUGUAGUUUCUCAAAUUAGUUGCUAUUUUUGCUUUAUGUUUUGAUUUCUAGUUGUUGUAGCUGUUGGUUUUUAGUAUAUUACUCGAUAUGAAGAGUUCUCAUGGUGAGAUUUAGAAAGUGAUAUUAUUAUUGUCCUCUGUAACCAAAAUAUGUAGUGGAGGGACACACUGAAAGUUCUCUAUGUACUCCAUGUUCACAUUGUCAGAAACAUCGACUAUUUUGUGAAAUUUGCAG